UGGGAUCUGUAUGUAGCCAUUCUGCUAACAUGGCUAUUAAAUAGCCUCCCACAGAAAGAAGGAAGAUUCCUGCCACCAAUAGGAGAGCAGCUUUCAGACUGAGGAGUUUGUAGCCAGUGAGAGAAAGACUUACUUCAGAGAGAGGAGAACUUUCUGGAGCUGUGAGGGGAAGCUCUGGAAGGAGAGAAACGCAGGGGUGUAUCCAAGACAGAGCCAUGCACAGAGCUGGGCUGUAUGUGAGGUGGAAUCCUUUUCUCCAGAGUGACCAGUGACUGCCUGCUAUCUGAAGAGUUGUUUUACAGACCACUCCACAUGGUGACUGCUUCUUCGGCCUGACACCUGGAGAAACUGCAAGGAAACUACUUUAUUACUGCAGUGUGAAGGAAGCUGAGGCAGCAGUGAUCGGCUGAUAGUGGAUCCAGUCUAUUGGCCUAUUCCUGCUAGGGUCCUAUCUAGGAAGUCCCAGGAUACCCUGUCAAAGGCUUUUUCUGCAUCUGUGGUACAAACCCUGCCUGAUCUGUAUGUAUUAAAUCUGCGCUAUCAGGUGGCCUCUUAGUACACAUUUCAGUGUUUCCCAGAGCGUCGCCGGAGAUACUUCUUCUGAAGAAUUGUUUUGAAUUAUUUGGGUAAUUAAAGACUGAAUUUCUUUUUUGGUGGAGUCCCUAUGAAGUAAAGAAUCAUUCAAUCGCCAAUUAUAUUCGUGCUUGGAGGUCUGUGGGAUCCUGAAUCUUAUUCUGACCGGUGCGUGAUCUGAUGUGUGAAAAUUGCCAAUAUCUGCCAAAGUAAAUAAGUGUAACCAUCUUUGGGAUGUAAAUAUGUAAUCUAUUCUUGAAUAAACUGCAAAGGUUUUUGAAAAGUG